GGUUGAAAGUUCAAGGCCACUGUAGAAGUGCUCAUGGUGUGGCCUGUCAGAUGCCUCCAAAUCUGCAAAUUCUGCU
rnacentral:ribozyme from 1 species